UUUUUUUUUUUUUUUUUUUGCUUUUGAGAGCUGCACCUGUUGCAUACAGAGGUUCCCAGGCUAGGGGUCCAACUGGAGCUGUAGUCGCUGGCCUACACCACAGCCACCUCUGCGACCUACACCACAAUUCACGGUGACACCAGAACGAAGCCAAGGAUCGAACCCGCAACAUCAUGGUUCCUAGUUGGAUUCGUUUCCACGGCACCACGAUGGGAACUCCUCAUGGGGCAGCUUCCCCAUGCUUCUCUGUACAGAUGCGUUCUUCCUGACAACGCCUCCUGCCUUCAUGGUAGGCAAAUGAACAGAACCAGGGACCUUCAGAAAUGAUGUGGCCCGGCAAAGACAGCGACAUGUGAUGCCAAGAAGAGCCAUUCCUGAAAGUGGCCCAAAGAUGCCUCAACCCCCGGAGCAAAGGUGACAUAACCCCAGGCCCUCAGAGAUGGCCACUUCAGCUGGCAAAGCUUCCUCAGGACGCCAGGCAAGCCCCCUUCCUCUGGCUCUCCUUGCCGGGAGUCAGAGCUGUGGCCCCUCUUCCUCUCCAGCACCGCCACCUGCUCCAGCCCCGACUCCUGCUCCUCCCGGGAGAGCCCAAGGUCUUCCCUGAGAUGCCCCCUGCCUCGCCUGCUGCGCUGGGCCCGAUCCCGCCCUGCCCCCCCCCAGCUCUAUAUAUCUGUCUAAUGAACAUUUCAAUAAGCCGAGCACAGCUUUUUCCACUUAAUAAGCAGAGUGCUGACUUCAUUGCGGGUGUGCUCUUCACUUAUCUGUUCGGGGCCUUAAAUCAUUCCGAGGAAAAAGCUUAGCAAAGGGAAACCAGGCACCCUGGCAAUUGGCUGCUCCUGUCAGCACCCUGCCCUGCUGGGGCCCAGGGUGGCCCUGCUUCCACAGAACAGCACAGAAGUACAAAUAAAACUCCUGAUAGCCGAGCGAUGGGAAGGCUGAGGACGGAGGCGAGGGGCUGCUNCUGGGGAGGGGGAAGGCGGGAAAUCCAGUGAGAGUCCCUGAGGGAAAGAGUCUGAGAAAAGGUUAAUGAACGCCUACGCUGCGCCAGGCAGUGUGCUGGGUGCCAGGAACCAAAUGGGGAACAAAGCUGUCACAGGCCCUGUCCUCUGACCUUGCUUUCCAGGAGGAAAGGAAACCAUGAAACCAGCAGUUGCCUACAUACAGCUGCAAGGAGACAAGGACAAGUGUCAUAGGCAUGAAUAAUGGGGGCUGGGGAAAGCUUCCCUCAGGAAAUGAGGUUUCAGCUCCGCUCUGAAAAGAUUCGCUUGAGACAGGUGGCAGGUAACCUGGUCGAGACCAGAAGAGUCCAUUCCUGGCCACUUUCACUGGGGCUAUGACCAGUCUUGUAACUGUGAUGUGUCGAGACCAUGUAAGGCCGUGGCAAAGGACACAGAUUUGGGACUGUGACAUACCUGGGAACAAAUUCUAGCUGUGAACAUAGGAGCUGUGUGAUCUUGGGGCAGUCACUUAACCUCUCUGUGCCUUGGUGGCUUCAUCCGUAAGAUGAAGUUAAGACACCCACCUGGUGGGGCUGUCGUGGGGGUUACACCUGAAUCUCAACGUAGGGAAUGUAUGGAGAGUACCUGGCAAUACGCUGGAUAAGCGGGAGAUGCUACUGCUGCUACUACUACCAGAUGCAGCGAUCGCUCCCCCAAGCCUACUACGGGGUCCUCGAAGACUUAAGACAGAGUCUCUUGUGUUUUGUGUUUGAUCAGACAGGGAGAGAUGGAAGCGACUGCUAUGCUACAUGGCGCAAGAACUCUUCCAGAAAAGAGCUCCAGGCACCCGGCCAAAGGUCUGACCCUGAGAGGGGGUGUGUAUAUACGGCGGGGGAUGGGUCGAGGGAUGCUGUUUUCCAGAAUCCUUCUGGACCUAGUUGGCAGGAAGAUUUCAGGGCAAAAGGGUACAGACUCCAUUAACGGUGGGCAAGUGCAAGGCGAUGGCUUCUGUGAUAAACACAUCAAAACCUCCUUUCCAGCGCGCCACUCUGCCCGGCCAGCCACAGUUCUGGCAAGGGACCUGGGAAUCCUUCUCCCUUUAGGUACUUCCCCAGGGCUGUUGGCCAAACGACCAGGAGCACCGUGAAGAAGACAUUAAAAAGAGGGAGCACAGGCUCCUCGAGGGGUCCAGCUGGGCUCUUCUACCCGCAGGGCUCCACCGUGCCGUUCCGACCCGGGCUGCAGGAGACCCAGGGGCUGCCAACUCUCCUUGGUAGGAAGGGCUAAGCGACGCACGCUCCAGCCUGCACACGGGAGGGCUGCUGGGGGUCAUGCAGGAAAUCACACAUGGUGUAGGGACGGUGACUGGAGGCUCACCCGUGAAACCCCAGGCCAAGUGGGGUUGCUUUGAAACUCGAGCGCGUUUGGGUUGACCGCAGGUGACUGCUGUUUUACGCAGGGGCCAGUAAACGUAAGAAACCCAUUACUCCAAGUGGUGGGUCGGGCAGAAAGAACCUAGACGAAUUAAAAAGCGUUUGGACACAUGUAUGAAAGACAGAGUCGUCUGUGUCCCUUGAUCAGGGUUUGCUCAGUGAAGGAACGAACGCAUAUGGGUGAUGGUGGUUCUCAAGGCGUUUCAAUCCAGUGCGAUAAAUAUUCACGGAGCACCUACUAGGACAAAGCAGUGUUGGGGAUGUAAACCUGCACAGUUUCUAUCCAGAAGCGUACACUUUCACAAGAGGAUUAGAGAGAACACUGUCAAUGCGGGGUGGACAGCGCGGGGGCGGGAAGAAAGGGCAGGAGACGAUGGCACUCAACGCAGAGCGAUUCGCUGGGCGUUUGCAGGAGGGACCGAAAGGGAUCUGUUGGAGAAGGUGAGGCGAGGAACGAGCCUCGAGGCACACGGCGGGUCUCAGCCAGGGCCAAAGGGAAGGAAGGUAUCCCAGAAAAGAGAAUGCCAGGUCCCAAGAUUUGGGGGUGGACAAUGAAGGACACACACAUUUAGAUUCAGACAACAGUACCGUGAAGGGGGCGGGGGGACAGAGAGAGGGCGCGCUGGAGGGAGAAGGAGAGAGAAGAGUUAUUUGGAAGAGAACAGAGUGGUGUCAGAUGAACAACAGAGGAGAACCUGGGCUCCCCUCUGGGGAGUGAACGCAGGGUCAGAAUCCCCAAGGCAAACCCCUCAAGACCCUGUGACAAUCGAGCCCUGAGAUGGAAAGGGGCAGACAGGGAUUCUAGCAGAUCUCAAGCCUGAGACUCCAAAUAACGGGGAGAUUUUCGAGCUAAGCAGAAAGCAGCUCCUUCCGCUCAGCCCUGGAGAGAUGCAGAGGGAGGUCCCACGGUUCCCCAGCAGCACGGGGGCUGCCUCUGCCACUUCCGGCCUCCUGGGGUUCCCAGCGGGCGAGGACAGUUCAGUCACGCUGCCAGCGCCCCGGCACUCCCUCCAGGUCCAUCAACAUGUACCCCGAGCGGAACCUGGGUUGAAAACGAACCUCAGGAACAGCUGGGAAGAGACAAGAGAGGCAAGGAAAUAUGACUAGGUCCAGCCAGUCUCGAGGCGUCGUAUUAAAAUGAGGGAGGUGUCGCAGAGGGCAGCAGCCAAGUCUUGAGACAGAGAAGGGCAAAGUCAUUUGUUCAUUCAGGUUGUCAUCAACGGGCCCUUUAUGGAUCAUGUUUUUUGUGCCAGGCACUGUGCUGGACCUAGGGAAGUAACACGCCUGUCUUGAAAAAGCUCGUGGUGGGGUAGUGGAGAAAAACACGUGAGCAGAAAACGAUGUGGUGAUAGAAAUAAGUUCUGGGUGGAGGCCCAAAGGAGGGAAUGACCGGCCCCGUCAAGGAAGGUUCUAAAGACGAUGGGUCACUUGAGCUGGGUCUCAGAAGAUGCAGAGGAGUUCGACAGGUAGCUAAAGGGACAGAGGGCAUUCUAGGCAGAGGGAAGGGCACGUGCGGUCAUGGAGGUGAAAAUAAUGUGGCAUUUGCAAAGGAAGUACUCAGGAUAGCUGGAAUUUAGGGGGUGCGCGUAGCAGAGCCAUAGGGCAGAGACCAGGGAGGUAGGCGGGGUCAGAUCAUAUCGGGCUGUGAGGGCCACGCUAAGGGGUCUGGACCUGGUCCUGUCGGCAAAAGGAGCCACUGAAGGAGCUAAGGAAGACACGGUUGGAUCUGCAACUCAGAAGCAUCACCCUCGAAACAGGGUGGAGGAGGAAUUAAAGAAUCAGAAUGACUGAGACCAGCUGAGAAACUAUUACAGAAAUCUGCAGGAGGACGAGGCCCGGUCUGGGCUAGAACAAUGCAAGUAGGGGGACGAAGAGGAACGGACUGAAGCAGAGUAAAGAGGGGCAGCAAAGCCGCUGCCUUUUGCCUGCUUGCUAUGAACUUCCAGAGGGGACCCAGACUGGCUCCCGCCUGGCUGCUUGGGAGGAGCUGCUCUGAUGUGGGGCACUGGGUACCUGGCCCCCAGGUGUGCCCCACAUGAUUUCUGGGGAAGAGGCAGGUCUUUCUGUCUCUCCAUUCUCGGCUGAUUCCAGGUUCCAGAUCCUCACUCCCUGUCAGUCUCCACACCCCCUGCUAAUCUCAACCCUACAGCUUUCAGUUCUUGGGUCCACAACGUGGGAGCCCUUCCUCUACAUACUGAAGGAGCUCCUGGCAGGCUCUCGGGGUUUCAGAACAGGGGACUGUGUUGAGGAUGACGAGAUCAGGAAUGUGACUUGAGAAAGCCGCCAGGGUCCCCACUGCGUCUUACUGUGGGAGCCGGCGCCCUGUCGGAGGGGUGGGCUAACAGAGGAGGAAGGGAGGUGAGCAAGACACUCCCUACGCAGGGAUAAGAGUUCCCCGACGUUUGGCCCAAGUCUCUCUUCAGUGUCCCCCAGGCUGCCAGAGCACCACAUUCUGGGCUUUGCCUCUUCAGAGGGUCUUGCUCUGUGGGCUGAGUGGAGCCAGGGCGGACAAGGAGACCCAGCUCGCCUCACCCCCCUCUUGCUUCCCUUCUCUGUUUUCGCCCCUCCAGCUCCACACACUGCUCUUCCGCAUCCCGUCCUGUCCUCCAGAAGCCGACGUCGAUGCACCGCCUCAGCCCAGCUCCCUCGCCUUCAGGGUUCGGACGGGGCUUGACACAUGGAGGACAGUGGAGGGCAGGAGAGAGACGCAGCUGGGCUACACGACACCCUGGCCCCUUCCUUCUUUACUGAAGGUCACAGCUCCUAAGCACUGCUGCAGUCAUGGCUGCAGCUCUUGGGGGAUCUGGUGGGUGCGCUCUACGGGGUGGUGGCAGCUCCCUUGCUGUGCUUUACCUUCUCCUUGUAAAGAGCCCCCGCGUGAACCUUUCCACAGUUACUCUAUCUGUGGAUCUGUGUUCCUUGCUAGAACCUUGGCUGGUACAACGGGCAUCCUCAGGGACAUGACACUAGCUGGACAUGUAUGUGUCCCAUCCUACUUUGUCUGCCACGGGCCUUUCAGUACUGUAUGGAUAAGAAGCUGCCUCUCCCUGCUAGGUGGAUGGGCAGACGGUAGAGAAACCAAAGAGGAAUUUAAUCCCUUGUCCUUGGCCUGGGCAACUUCUCAUUGCUCUACUUAGAUGUUCACUCCUUUGGCUCUGCAGAGAGUUCAGGGGCUCCAAAGAAGUUUAACUGAGAAACAGAGAACGUCAGGACUGGGUGGCUGUAUGGCUUGGAGCACUCGCUCACUCUUCUUAUAUUCAGCAAAUAUUUGUGGAACGCUUACCAUGUUCCAGACACUGUGCGAGGCCCCGUGGAUACGACAAAUAGGAAACGAAAUAUAAUCAUCUCACUGAGCACACAAUUUUGUUGGGGAGGCAGAUGAGUCAUCAGGCCAUCAUAAGAUAACCUUAUUAGAGAGGUGAACAUGGCAUGAUGUGGAAAUACAUACAAGUGGCACCUAGCCUCAUCGUGGGGACAGGGCAGAGAAGGCUUUCCAGAGGAACUGAGACUAAGCUAAGAUCUGAAGGGAAUCUUGGCAUUGACCGGAGCAGAGGGUGGGAGAGAACGGGAGGGAGGGGUGGGGGGAAGAGGGAGCAGCAUGUGCAAGAGCGAGGAGUUAGAACCUGGUGCCCUGAAAAGCUGAAAGUACUGAGGGUGGCUCUGUUUGUAAAUCAAGGGGGAGAGUGUCAGGAGGUGAGGCUGCAAAGGGCGAUGCGGCGUGGCCUUCUGGAGGGGAUCAACGGGUUUGGACUUGGUCCUGGGAGCAAGGGGGUGCCACUGGUGGGUUUUAAGCAGGGAAGGAUGUGACCAGCUUCGUGCCGAAGCACCUGGCUCAGCAUGGGGAGUGGAUUGGCAGAAGCAAGAUGGGAAGCAGGGAGCCAUCUCGAGGCCGAUCCAGUAGCCGGGAGAGGGACAGGGACAGGAAGACUUGAUGAAACAUGGGCUGGUGAGUGAUCGAUGCUGGGAAGAGUGAGGGGAACAGAAGAGUCAGGGACCGCUCUCA
rnacentral:lncRNA from 1 species